UACGGAGGGGGCUAGCGUUGUUCGGAAUUACUGGGCGUAAAGCGCGCGUAGGCGGCUUUGUAAGUCAGAGGUGAAAUCCCGGGGCUCAACUCCGGAACUGCCUUUGAAACUGCAUCGCUUGAAUGUCGGAGAGGUGAGUGGAAUUCCGAGUGUAGAGGUGAAAUUCGUAGAUAUUCGGAAGAACACCAGUGGCGAAGGCGGCUCACUGGACGACUAUUGACGCUGAGGCAUGAAAGCGUGGGGAGCAAACAGG
rnacentral:rRNA from 1 species